UUUUGGUCCCCUCGCAAUGAUAGGUCGUAAACUCCGCCAGGCCCGGAAGGGAGCAACGGUAGCGACUGAUUCGUGUGCCGAGGUGUGGCUGGGAAGG
rnacentral:SRP_RNA from 1 species